rnacentral:rRNA from 1 species
GACGAGGGUCCAAGCGUUGUUCGGAAUCAUUGGGCGUAAAGCGGGUGUAGGUGGCUCUAUAAGUCAGAAGUGAAAGCCCUGGGCUCAACCCAGGAAGUGCUUUUGAUACUGCAGAGCUUGAAUGUGGGAGAGGGUAGUGGAAUUCCAGGUGUAGUGGUGAAAUACGUAGAUAUCGGGAGGAACACCAGUGGCGAAGGCGGCGACCUGGACGGACACUGACGCUGAGACGCGAAAAGCGUGGGGGAGCAAACAGG